UACGAGUGCCCCGAGCGUUAUCCGGAAUCAUUGGGCGUAAAGGGUGUGUAGGUGGCGGUGUUAGUCGGUUGUCAAAACCUGGGGCUCAACCCCAGAUCCGCGACCGAAACGGCACAGCUAGAGGAUGGCAGGGAUGUAUGGAACUCAUGGAGUAGGGGUGAAAUCCGUUGAUAUCAUGGGGAACACCAAAAGCGAAGGCAGUACAUUGGGCCACUCCUGACACUGAAACACGAAAGCGUGGGUAGCGAAUGGG
rnacentral:rRNA from 1 species